UCAGGACGAACGCUGGCGGCGUGCUUAACACAUGCAAGUCGAACGGGGAUAGCGUUGGAAGUCCUUCGGGGUGGAAGAUGCUAUUCGAGUGGCGGACGGGUGAGUAACGCGUGAACAAUCUGUCCCAGACAGGGGGAUAACACUUGGAAACAGGUGCUAAUACCGCAUAAGACCACGGUGUCGCAUGGCACAGGGGUAAAAGGAGCGAUCCGGUUUGGGGUGAGUUCGCGUCCGAUUAGCCAGUUGGCGGGGUAACGGCCCACCAAAGCGACGAUCGGUAGCCGAUCUGAGAGGAUGACCGGCCACAUUGGAACUGAGAGACGGUCCAAACUCCUACGGGAGGCAGCAGUGGGGAAUAUUGGGCAAUGGGCGAAAGCCCUGACCCAGCAACGCCGCGUGAGUGAAGAAGGCCUUCGGGUUGUAAAGCUCUGUUAUAGGGGACGAAGGAAGUGACGGUACCCUAUAAGGAAGCCCCGGCUAACUACGUGCCAGCCGCAGC
rnacentral:rRNA from 1 species